rnacentral:tRNA from 1 species
GGAGAGGUGGCCGAGUGGUCUAAGGCGCACGCCUGGAAAGCGUGUAUCCGUCACAAGCGGAUCAAGGGUUCGAAUCCCUUUCUCUCCG